rnacentral:rRNA from 1 species
UACGGGGGGGGCAAGCGUUGUUCGGAAUUACUGGGCGUAAAGGGCGCGUAGGCGGCCUGCUAAGUCGGACGUGAAAUCCCUCGGCUCAACCGGGGAACUGCGUCCGAUACUGGCGAGGCUUGAAUCCGGGAGAGGGAUGUGGAAUUCCAGGUGUAGCGGUGAAAUGCGUAGAUAUCGAGAGGAACACCUGCGGCGAAGGCGGGUAGCUGGGCCGACACUGACGCUGAUGCGCGAAAGCCAGGGGAGCGAACGGG